UACGAAGGGGGGCUAGCGUUGCUCGGAAUGACUGGGCGUAAAGGGCGCGUAGGCGGAUGGCACAGUCAGAUGUGAAAUUCCCGGGCUUAACCUGGGGGCUGCAUUUGAUACGUGUGAUCUAGAGUGAGGAAGAGGAUCGCGGAAUUCCCGGGUGUAGCGGUGAAAUGCGCAGAUAUCGGGAGGAACACCAAUUGCGAAGGCAGCUCGCUGGGACGUUACUGACGCUGAGACGCGAAAGCGUGGGGAGCAACAGG
rnacentral:rRNA from 1 species